rnacentral:other from 1 species
UUCCCCCUGCGGUGUUCGAGAAGGCGCACAAUUCCUUUGAACCAAUGCGUUCGCUUGGUCGCUAGCAUCUACGGCACGGGUGUGCCGUGUCCCCUUAGCGGGACACGCCCGGUAGUGCCAGGCAGGCGGCCCCCUGGAGACAGGGUUCAAGCGGAUUUUGCCGGAACGACACCUGCGGGGGGAAC